GAACGCUGAAGAGAGGAGCUUGCUCUUCUUGGAUGAGUUGCGAACGGGUGAGUAACGCGUAGGUAACCUGCCUUGUAGCGGGGGAUAACUAUUGGAAACGAUAGCUAAUACCGCAUAACAAUGGAUGACACAUGUCAUUUAUUUGAAAGGGGCAAUUGCUCCACUACAAGAUGGACCUGCGUUGUAUUAGCUAGUAGGUGAGGUAAUGGCUCACCUAGGCGACGAUACAUAGCCGACCUGAGAGGGUGAUCGGCCACACUGGGACUGAGACACGGCCCAGACUCCUACGGGAGGCAGCAGUAGGGAAUCUUCGGCAAUGGGGGCAACCCUGACCGAGCAACGCCGCGUGAGUGAAGAAGGUUUUCGGAUCGUAAAGCUCUGUUGUAAGUCAAGAACGGGUGUGAGAGUGGAAAGUUCACACUGUGACGGUAGCUUACCAGAAAGGGACGGCUAACUACGUGCCAGCAGCCGCGGUAAUACGUAGGUCCCGAGCGUUGUCCGGAUUUAUUGGGCGUAAAGCGAGCGCAGGCGGUUUGAUAAGUCUGAAGUUAAAGGCUGUGGCUCAACCAUAGUUCGCUUUGGAAACUGUCAAACUUGAGUGCAGAAGGGGAGAGUGGAAUUCCAUGUGUAGCGGUGAAAUGCGUAGAUAUAUGGAGGAACACCGGUGGCGAAAGCGGCUCUCUGGUCUGUAACUGACGCUGAGGCUCGAAAGCGUGGGGAGCGAACAGGAUUAGAUACCCUGGUAGUCCACGCCGUAAACGAUGAGUGCUAGGUGUUGGAUCCUUUCCGGGAUUCAGUGCCGCAGCUAACGCAUUAAGCACUCCGCCUGGGGAGUACGACCGCAAGGUUGAAACUCAAAGGAAUUGACGGGGGCCCGCACAAGCGGUGGAGCAUGUGGUUUAAUUCGAAGCAACGC
rnacentral:rRNA from 1 species